GAUGAAGAACGUAGUGAAAUGCGAUAAGUAGUGUGAAUUGCAGAAUUCAGUGAAUCAUCGAAUCUUUGAACGCACAUUGCGCCCUUUGGUAUUCCAAAGGGCAUGCCUGUUCGAGCGUCAUUUGUACCCUCAAGCUUUGCUUGGUGUUGGGCGUCUUGUCUCUAGCUUUGCUGGAGACUCGCCUUAAAGUAAUUGGCAGCCGGCCUACUGGUUUCGGAGCGCAGCACAAGUCGCACUCUCUAUCAGCAAAGGUCUAGCAUCCAUUAAGCCUUUUUUUCAACUUUUGACCUCGGAUCAGGUAGGGAUACCCGCUGAACUUAAGCAUAUCAAUAAGCGGGGA
rnacentral:misc_RNA from 1 species